UGAGGAAUAUUGGACAAUGGGCGCAAGCCUGAUCCAGCCAUGCCGCGUGCAGGAUGACGGUCCUAUGGACUGUAAACUGCUUUUGUACAGGAAGAAACACUCUCUCGUGAGGGAGCUUGACGGUACUGUAAGAAUAAGGAUCGGCUAACUCCGUG
rnacentral:rRNA from 1 species